CAAAAAAAAGAGUUCCAUAUAGAGCCCUUGGAGGGCAAAGAAUCCAUUUUAUUAAAAUGGUUCUAUAAUUCACGUUUGUGACUGAAGUGUAAACUAAAGAUUACACAAUAAUUACAGACCUACACAACUCAUUUACAAACCUACACAACUCAUUCACAAACCUUUUUGUGUCAAUAGGCUGUGGUCAAAUAAAGAGAGAGUCAACAAAUAGGCUAUUCAUAUUUAUUGUAUGAUUUAUUUCCUGUGAGCUUUUUUAUGCAAGUUUGUACAUUAGCAUGAAACUUACAGUGCAGUUUGCGUUUUUGGUGAAUAACCAGGUGUUUUCUUUAUUUUGUACAUUCUAUAUUGUCAAUGUUUAAUUUAACCUGAAGGGGCAUUAAAUACAAAUAAUCGCAAAAGUGCCCUCUGGUGGCGUAUAUAUGCGUUGCACCAUAAGCGAAGAUGAGCCUCCAGACCUGACAGGUUUUUUUUCAAACUGAGGAGUUCGGACUCCGGACCGGCAUUUCUGCUUGUUGGUACCCUGAGGUAAGUAAACUUUCUACAUUUUUGAAACGAUAUUACACUCUAAAAGUUGGGUUAUUUUGUUUGGUUGUUUUAUCAGUGUUGGGUAGUUUUUGUGUAACCCAACUUGUUGGGUUAUAUGUUGGGUAAUUUUGAAGCAGAGCCAGCUUAAUAGAUACAUAGCUGUUUCUCAAUAUUACUUUCUCUAGUCCACAAAAUGUAUUUUAAACAUAAGUUCAGGCGAGAAUAUAUAUGUAUAAUGUUCAAAUUUGCAGUCGGUUUGUAAAGUGAAUGCCAAUUUUAAAGUUUAAUUACACAAAGUCGGAAUGUUACCGGCGUGACCACCGGGUGUCAGUGUUGUUCUUCCCCAGAGAGAACUCGUCCCUUCCCCCACACAGACGCGUCAGUGCCUCUCACUGCAACGAUACCUGAAGCGGGAGUUUACUAUUCACCUGAGGAUUCAUGAACGGUUUUUCAUCGACUUAUCUUUGAUUUAUUUGAAGGAAAAGGUUUGUAUCACUGUUUUUAAUCAUUUAAACUAUUUCUGAAUGCAAAAGUAUGCAAAAUUAUGGUUCACAUGACAUAACUGUUAUUAAACUAGUUUUAUUAGCUUCCGUUGGCUAGUCUGUAAUGCCCAGUAAAUCUAAACGAUGUUUAUGCUUGCUUUUAAAUGAUUUAAAUAUUUCGUUUGAUCAAACGUUUUAUGAAAUAUGUCUAAAACAUGGCUUGUUUUAAUAAUUUUAGAAACGUUACAAUGUAACGUAUUCUAAUGGUUUAGAAAUUCAGUUUAAAACAGAUAACGUUAAUAUGAGGAAGAAACGUGUACGUUUUAAAUAAAUAAUCGUUUGUUGUAAAAGUUGAAAUCAAACUGAUGCUUUUAAUAUCAUGUUUAGAUCAUGAAACUUUAGCCUUGAGUUCACAGACAGGGUCACAUAUUGUGAACUCUCAUUUGGUCUGUUUAAGUUACAGACAUUUUUAUCUUUUUCAAAUGUUUUUGAUGAUGCCCACUUAAAUCACAGUUUUGGCUCUUUUCCACAGACCCUGAUGGAUAAAAGAUGGAUAUUUUUUUCCUGGAGAAGCUAAAACAAUGUAACUUUCAGGUUCUGAUACCAGCUUUUACAAAGUUAUUUACAGAGUUCACCAGACUUCUCUGUGUUAUUUCCUGACCAUGCCGAAAAGCUAUUUGAAACUUGGGCAUUGCAUUUUCCAGACAGAAUCCUGCACUUCCCAGCCAAGAACCAGGAGCAUCAACAAAUCACCUCCAGAACCCCAUGAUGAUAUUCCAACUCCUGUCUACAAAAGUGGGAAGAAAAUCUUAAGUCUAUGUUGGGACCAACAUGGUUGCAUUCUUCUGAGAGGCUGAUGUGACAAAACCAUUACCAUUUGUCCUUGGAUUGGAAGAUGGCGAUCUCUGCCAUCAAGCCUUCUUUGUUUUUGACAGACAGUCACUCCAGCAAUACACCCUCCUUGGUGAUGUUGACAUGUUUUAAACUUUUUUUUAUGUUUUGGACAUUAAUUUUACUAAGCAGUGCACAUCAGUGUGGGUGUUUUUGAAGACUGUUGUUUACAAACUCCCAAGAACGGAAUCCCUUUUUAUAAGAAGUCUGUGUAGUUAUUUGUCAUGCUAAGGUGAUAACUCAUGUUGAUCAUAUAUUGACUGUUUGUGCAACUUUGUGUUGAUCUUAUGUGUUACAUUAACCAUUUCUUAUUACACGGUUCUCUAAAAUGCUAGAUUCUGAUUGGCCAGUCGUGACAUUCUACUACUGCUCAAAACUAAAAACUCCAAUGCUGCAAAUCAUUUUGACAGGUACAGUUUUAUAUUACACAAAAAUUAAAUAUCAAUGUCUAUUAAUUACACAUCCGACAUUAAAUUUACAAAUGAUUAAAUGUGUUCGUGACAUUUGUCCUGAAGAAACUGUUGGGGCUUUUUUCUUUGAUGACAUGCUGCCAAUACAUUAUCCCUUACUUGUACAACUUUUUACUUGAUCUAAUUGUAAUGUUAACUGGGUAUCUGUCAUUUUAGAUU